CCUACGGGUUGCACCAGUGGGGAAUAUUGCACAAUGGGCGCAAGCCUGAUGCAGCCAUGCUGCGUGUGUGAAGAAGGCCUUUGGGUUGUAAGGCACUUUCAGCGGGGAGGAAGGCGUUAAGGUUAAUAACCUUGGCGAUUGACGUUACCCGCAGAAGAAGCACCGGCUAACUCCGUGCCAGCAGCCGCGGUAAUACGGAGGGUGCAAGCGUUAAUCGGAAUUACUGGGCGUAAAGCGCACGCAGGCGGUCUGUCAAGUCGGAUGUGAAAUCCCCGGGCUCAACCUGGGAACUGCAUUCGAAACUGGCAGGCUAGAGUCUUGUAGAGGGGGGUAGAAUUCCAGGUGUAGCGGUGAAAUGCGUAGAGAUCUGGAGGAAUACCGGUGGCGAAGGCGGCCCCCUGGACAAAGACUGACGCUCAGGUGCGAAAGCGUGGGGGGCAAACGGGAUUAGAUACCCUCGUAGUC
rnacentral:rRNA from 1 species